UCUUCAACGAGGAAUCCCUAGUAAGCACAAGUCAUCAGCUUGUGCUGAUUACGUCCCUGCCCUUUGUACACACCGCCCGUCGCUACUACCGAUUGAAUGGCUUAGUGAGGCCUUCGGAUUGUUAGUAAAAAACUGUAACAGGUUUUCUGCCGACGAAAAGUUGGUCAAACUUGGUCAUUUAGAGGAAGUAAAAGUCGUAACAAGGUUUCCGUAGGUGAACCUGCGGAAGGAUCAUUACAAAUCGUUGGCGAAUCUCGCCACUUUUUUUUUCGUAUUUAAAACAUCCACUCUUAAAAAUUAUUUUUAAUGAUAAAAUUAAAAAAAGAUCACUUUCAACAACGGAUCUCUUGGCUCUCGCAUCGAUGAAGAACGUAGCGAAGUGCGAUAAGUAAUGUGAAUUGCAGAAUUCCGUGAAUCAUCGAAUUUUUGGACGCAAAUUGCACUCUCCGGUUUUCCGGGAGAGUAUGCCUGUUUGAGGGUCAGCCUAAAUAAAAUCGGCUUCGUUGCUGUGUUUUUCGCGGUAAUGCUUGUCGGAAAUUGGGUUAUCUUAAACUUGUUUAAGUAGCUUAAAAUUUUUUUACGAUUCUAAGAACGUUUCUAAGAAUAUAUUUCUUUCUUACGUUCAAGGUAUCGAAUACUAUUAGACGUGGCCGUCACAUCGGAUCUCGUCCAUAAUUUUUUCUUUUACUGACCUCAGACAGGUAAGAGUACCCGCUGAACUUAAGCAUAUCAAUAAGCGGAGGAAAAGAAAAUAACAAUGAUUCCCUUAGUAACGGCGAGUGAAGGGGGAAAAGCUCAAAUUUUAAAUCGGUCAGGUUCUACCUGUUCGAGUUGUAAUUUGAAGAAGCGUUUUCCGCGUUCGGGUUGACCCAAUCCUUUGGGAUAAGGUAUCAUGGAGGGUGAGAAUCCCGUCCGGUUGACCUUGAAACGCUCUACGAUACGCUUUCAAAGAGUCGAGCUGUUUGGGAAUGCAGCUCAAAAUGGGAGGUAAAUUUCUCCUAAGGCUAAAUACCGGCGAGAGACCGAUAGCGAACAAGUACCGUGAGGGAAAGAUGAAAAGAACUUUGAAAAGAGAGUUAAACAGUACGUGAAAUUGUUGAAAGGGAAACGAUUGAAGCCAGUCAUACCAACGGGAAAUCAACCUUUUGAGCUCGGUCUCGUGGGUUUUGAAGAGUUUCAAAGCCUUCGGAUUCGCGGGAUUGGGAUCUCUCGGUGUACUUUCUCGUACGGUUAGUCAACAUCGGUUUUGAAUGUCAUAAAAUGACUGGAGGAAUGUAGCUUCGAUCUCGUAUUGAAGUGUUAUAGCCUUUGGUAGAUGUGAUGUUUGAGACCGAGGAUUGCAACGGAUACCCUUCAGGGCUAUUCGUCUGAUCUCUGAUACGUUGCCUUGAUGUUGAAAGCUUGCUUAUGAUGUUAGGGUAUUACGGUCAAAAGGUUAGAACGAAUUACAUUCGUUAAGGAUGUUGACGUAAUGACUUUAAACGACCCGUCUUGAAACACGGACCAAGGAGUCUAACAUAUAUGCGAGUGUU
rnacentral:rRNA from 1 species